GUUCCCAGCGCGCACGUGACAGCGGGUCGUUGUCACGUGGGACAGGUGGGACCGUCUCUCGGGUGGUUGAAUCACUUCGGACAGGUAACGUAGUAAUUAUAGGCGGGCGGAGACCCUAAGGCGAUCUUGGAAGUGCCAUCCAAACCCCUGCCUGAAGAAGUGAGUUCAGAGAGAACACGAGGAAGUCUGUAGAUGCUGAUGGUCUUGAGCAACACGUACGAAAUGCUGGGGGAGCUCAGCGAGUCAGGCAGCGUCUCCGGAGGGGUAAACGACUCGGGCCGAGAAACUUCAUCAGGAGUGGAAAGAAAUGGGGCAGAAGCUUGUAAUAAGGUGGGAGAGGAGAAGGAGUACGUUGAUGCUACCUGGCUUGCUAAGUUUCUCCAGCAUUUUGUAUGCAUCUCUCAAGAUUACCAUCAUCUGCAGAACCUCUUGUGUUGAGGAGCCCAGGAUUUCUUUUGAAGUGAUAUCUUUUGAAAGCAGACAAAUUUGGAUGCCAAGAUUGUGAAAAAUUUAGAGAAAAGAGAAAUAUUCUGCAACAGAAAUUGCAUGGUGCUCGCUUUGAUUUUAUCAAAGAAAGAUCAUUGUAAGAGACCAUCUGGAUAGCUUCAUUUCAGAACAUCACUUAUUAUCCCUGCAACUCAGUAACACGCAAAACUGGUUGUGAACCUCACAGAUGAGAGGAAUCAACAGUUUCUUUCAACAACUGAAAUUCAUUGAGAGAGCAUACUGAAUAUUUCAGAAGCCUCCUCUGGCAAACUAUUGACAGAACACCAACUUCAUCACAAAUAAAGUGGAAAUACGUUCUUAACGACUGUGAUUUUCAGGUACAGAGCUGAAACUUGGUAAGUGCAUGUGAGAUACCUCAUGGUACCACCAACAGCUGAAGAACCUUUAACAUUUUCAUAUAUGAGAGAUUAACUGAUAACAGCAUACUCUCUAAAAGGAACACAUCAAGCAUUGGAGUAAAGAUUAUCUAACAUAAGGUCGUUUACACCAGUCAAAUCAUACAGAUGCUCAGCUCCCAAUUCUUCAAACUAGCUUUUUUUUCCCCUCGCAGCUCCAUCAUGAGGGUUGGGGAAAAAGAUCGUCCUGAAGGUGUAAUAUCAAUGCCGACUCAUGGACUGUCAUAGACUGGGAGGUUGCUGCAAGAAUCUCUGCAACUUGAGACCAGGAUGGCAACAGGGAAUGAUAUAGAAGGAAUCUAAGUUUAUCACUAUUGGAUGAGAUCAGCAAUCUGCAGACUCCUUGGAAUAUAUCAUUGUUGGUGAUUUGAGAAAUUGCAUUAUACAUAAACCAUUAUCGUUUGCAAUGUCCUUCAGAUCAAAGUGAUAAUUUGCAUGGAGGAGAGCAGAUGGGCAAGGAGAUCUCUGUAAUUCUAGGUGAGAAGUUUUUGCUCUGUAACACAUCUGCCUGCAUCUUUGUAAAUUAGAGAGUAUGCAGUGUCCAUUGGAGUGCUUGAGGCAUUUUUGUAACCCUAUGACUAGAGUACUGUAUAAAUUUAAAAACUGAGCAUUCAUGUAGCAACUGGUAGUGUGAGCAGUGAAACAAAUAAAACAAGGCCUAUUUCAAAGGGAGAUAGAACUUUACUGUUGGGUGUGUGUUGUAACAUUGAAGAAACAAAGAUCAAAUGAGUUCUUAUUGAAAGGCAUUGAUAUAGUAAUUAAUGGAAGGCAAUAAAGACAAGAUAAACUUCUGUUAAGUAUCACAUCAAGCUCUAAGGAAUAGUAGGAACAUAAUUGAUUUCAUUGUUUUAAUUAGCUUGAAAAGUAUAGAUUUCUGAGAAAAGCAAGGUUUAAUUGCUCUGGGUGCCAUGCUGAUUUGCAGAGCUUGAGAGUGGCUUCGGGCUGAACAGCAAAAUCUGGGCCUGGAGUGUGGUCUGUGCUGGAGCCUGGGUCUUAGUGCAAGAUAAAAUGUACUCUUCAGACCAUUUAAAUUGCAGCCCAGAUUGGAAGUGGGAGCUGAUUUUGCUCACUCUCCGUGAUGGUCACUCCAAUCUCCAGGAUGCAGAACCUUUCGCUGUUCUGUUGUUGGGUCAGUUUAAACAUUGGCCCAGAUAGACUGUAAAGGCAGGGUGUCGGUCAGGACAGAGCUGAUUUUGCUGGUUCUCUACAAUGGUUAUCUCCGUGAUGCUGAGGCUAUGAAGACUGUCUGCUGAUGUGUUGAACUGAUAAGUGGAACUUCAGGCUUUCUCCAAGUUGCUCUGAAGUUCAGAUCUGAGAACACAAUUUUGGUUUGGAAUGCUGUUUUUCACUUCGAUUGUUUGCAAUUUUUUUCUUGCAUAUUGGGUGUUGGUCUUUUAUUUUUACUUUAUUCAUUUUUUUUUCUUUAACUGGGUUCUUUUAGGUUUCUUGCUUUGUGGCUAUCUGUGAGCAGGGAAAUUUCAAGGUUGCAUAAUUUAUACAUUCUUUGAUAAUAAAUGAG